UUCAGCAAACAAAACACGUGCAUAUCCUAUCUUUCCAAAGCCCCGAUAAAACCCUAGCGGUCAUCCCUAUAAAUUCACCACCUUUGGUGCUUUUCCAUCUCAACUGGGCAACCCCUCAGGUUCAGCCUCUCUCUCUCUCUCUCUCUCCACGCAUAUGUUUGAGGUUUAAUCGUGAUGAAAGAGAAGAUCGCAGCGAUGACUUGGUGAAAUCCAAGCUCAACAGACCGGAAUGCAGGAUUUUCUCUUGCGAGAAAAUUUUGCGGGUCUCACUCUUUCCUUUUCUUUCUCUGUUUUUACAUUUCCAAAUCAUUUUUCACUGCAAGAAAUUCAUAGGCAACAAAAUUCUCGAAUCGUUAGCUGUUCUUAAAAUUAUUAUUAUUAUGGGUUAAAUUUUGGGCUUUUGAGUUUAUAUUUGAUUUGAAAUAGUUAUUGGGGGAAAUAGAGAUUGCAAUGAGGAUGACAAAGCUCCCUCUUCUGAGAUUUUAAGUUGAGGAAGUACGCUGGCAGAAUCGAACCUAAAACUCUUGAAGCCACUACUGAAUCAUGUAUAUAGCAAGGAAGAUAUAUUCAAUUUUCAUCUCUUUGGAUGAAGCAGCCAAAUUGAUGGUUUUGCGUUCUCCGCUGGAAAUAUAUUCCUCUAUCCAAAACGUUUUAGUGAUCAGUGGGGGUUGCUGUGUCACUUUGUGGACGUGGUAUUGAGAGGAAGUCAUCGAGAACGUGCAUGGCAGGGCAGAUAAAGAGACCCUCAAAUUUUCUCUAGAUUAUUUUUGUUUGAUUGUAAAAACGAAAAUGUGGAGAGAGCGUGGUCCACAGCCCAAUGAGCUGUGUAAUUUAUUGGUGGACGUGCUUGAAUCCUUAAUGAGUAAUUUAUUCUUGUAUCACGUCAAAGAUGGUAAAUAUAUGGAAUUGCAAUUUUCCAAGUUUUGGACUUA